rnacentral:misc_RNA from 1 species
UGUUCGAGCGUCAUUACAACCCUCAAGCUCUGCUUGGUAUUAAGCCUCACCUGUAAAGGCGGGCUAUAAAAUCAGUGGCGGUGCAUCUGGCUUCAAGCGUAGUAAAUUUUCUCGCUUUGGGGACUUGGUGUGUGCUUGCUAAACCCCAAUUUAAUUCAAAGGUUGACCUCGGAUCAGGUAGGGAUACCCGCUGAACUUAA